UGUAGUCAAGUUUCUAAGAGCAGACGGUGGAUGCCUUGGCAUCUGGAGCCGAAGAAGGACGUAUAAAUCUGCGAUAAGCCUCGGGGAGCUGAUAAUAGAGCUUUGAUCCGAGGAUUUCCGAAUGGGGAAACCCCGUCAGGCGUGGCAACACGACCUGAUGACUCCCGCCUGAAUAUAUAGGGCGGGUAGAGGGAACGUGGGGAAGUGAAACAUCUCAGUACCCACAGGAAGAGAAAGCAACCGCGAUUCCGUUAGUAGUGGCGAGCGAAACCGGAACAGGCCAAACCGAUCAUGUGUGAUAGCCGGCAGGCGUUGCAUGGUCGGGGUUGUGGGACCUUCACGUACUUCUGCCGAAGUACACGUUGACAUGCGCGAUAUAGGUGAACAGCUUUGAAAGGCUGACCACAGAGGGUGCCAGUCCCGUAACCGAAAUGUCGAGCAGCGACGGAAGGGAUCCCAAGUAGCACGGGGCCCGAGAAAUCCCGUGUGAAUCUGCCAGGACCACCUGGUAAGCCUAAAUACUCCCAGAUGACCGAUAGCGGACAAGUACCGUGAGGGAAAGGUGAAAAGUACAGUUAGUGGUAUGUGGCGAGGUUAACCCGUGAGGGGCAGCCGUAGCGAAAGCGAGUUCGAAUAGAGCGAUUCAGUCGCAUGCCCUAGACCCGAAGCGAAGUGAUCUAUCCAUGGCCAGGUUGAAGCGACGGUAAGACGUCGUGGAGGACCGAACCCACUUGGGUUGAAAACCGAGGGGAUGAGCUGUGGAUAGGGGUGAAAGGCCAAUCAAACUUCGUGAUAGCUGGUUCUCUCCGAAAUCUACAAGGUUACUGACGUCAGCCAAACUCCGAAUGCCGGUAAGUGAGAGCGCAGCAGUGAGACGGUGGGGGAUAAGCUUCAUCGUCGAGAGGGAAACAACCCAGACUACCGACUAAGGCCCCUAAGCGUGUGCUAAGUGGGAAAGGAUGUGGAGUUGCACAGACAACCAGGAGGUUGGCUUAGAAGCAGCCACCCUUGAAAGAGUGCGUAAUAGCUCACUGGUCAAGUGAUUCCGCGCCGACAAUGUAACGGGGCUCAAGCACACCGCCGAAGUCGUAGGAUUCGCAUUAUAGGUAGGCCUUCGUGGUCCAGCCGUGCGGAUCGGUAGGAGAGCGUCGUGUGGCGAGUGAAGCGGCGGGGUAACCCAGCCGUGGACGCCACACGAGUGAGAAUGCAGGCAUGAGUAGCGAAAGACAUGUGAGAAACAUGUCCUCCGAAAGACCAAGGGUUCCAGGGUCAAGCUAAUCUUCCCUGGGUAAGUCGGGACCUAAGGCGAGGCCGACAGGCGUAGUCGAUGGACAACGGGUUGAUAUUCCCGUACCGGCGAAGAACCGCCCAAGCUAAUCCAGUAGUGCUAAGAGUCCUAAUCCGGCAGAUGGAUCCCUUCGGGGUGAAGCAGCCGGCCUAACGCUCGAACCCGUGCUGGUGCGGCUAGCGUAUUAACAGGUGUGACGCAGGAAGGUAGCCGAGCCAGGCGAUGGUAGUCCUGGUGUAAGGACGUAGGGCGAGAGAUAGGCAAAUCCGUCUCUCACAUAGCCUGAGAUCUGACGCAUACCCCUCACGGGGGAAUUCGGUGAUCCUAUGCUGCCGAGAAAAGCAUCGACGCGAGGUUCCAGCCGCCCGUACCCCAAACCGACUCAGGUGGUCAGGUAGAGAAUACCAAGGAGAUCGAGAGAAUCGUGGUUAAGGAACUCGGCAAAAUGCCCCCGUAACUUCGGGAGAAGGGGGGCCUAAGGCGUGUACGGACUUGCUCCGGAAGCGCUGCAGGGCCGCAGAGACCAGUGGGAAGCGACUGUUUACUAAAAACACAGGUCCGUGCGAAGUCGCAAGACGAUGUAUACGGACUGACGCCUGCCCGGUGCUGGAAGGUUAAGAGGA
rnacentral:rRNA from 1 species